CUAUUUUUCACCAGACUGUAUACUAUAACUUGUUGUAUCUUCUAUAAGUCAGAGAAAUGUACUGGUCAUUGUAUAAUUUACAGUGGAAGGAGAUAUGCAGAUAUGCAAUGUCCACUGAGAUAUGUUUGUAUAAGCUUGUAUACUUAUCAUGUAGCAAUUAUCAAAUUGAUUAUUUAUAUUUGUGUUCUUCUUACAGAAAUACCAAACAACAUUUUGCAAGGAUUUAGAGGUCAUUGGUGAAAAUGGAAGAAAGGACAUGGGUACAUCUAAUUUUAAAUGAAAUAACAAGAAUAGUUAAAUGAUUUACAACCAAGCAGCACUCAGCAAUAGUGAUGGUAAAGUAUUUUUAUAAAAUGAUACUCAAAAAAAGAUAUAUACAGUGUGGUGGUUUAUAUAUUCCUCCAUUGCUACAGUCGCUGCAUUCAUCACCACACUCUCCAUAUAUAUCCCAACAGUCUCAAUAGGUACCCCCAUACUAUGAUUAUCUAUCACUACAGUCUCAAUAGCUAUUUCCAUACUAUGAUUAUAUAUCACUACAGUCUCAAUAUCUAUCCUCAUACCAUGAUUAUCUAUCACUACAGUCUCAAUAGCUAUACCCAUACUAUGAUUAUCUAUCACUACACUCUCCAUUCAGAUGCCAACAGUCAUUAUGUAUAUAUCAUAAUAGUCUCUAUGUAUAUCUCAGGAUAAUACAAAAGCUUCCCCUUUACUUUAUUUAUCAAUCACCUCACUUUAUAUAUCAAUCACCACACUCUCUAUAUAUAUAUCCCCAUACUCUCUAUAUCUACCCCAAAAGUCUCUAUGUUAUCCACAUAAUAACACCUUAGAUCACCUUACUUUAUUUAUCAAUCACCUCACUUUAUAUAUCAAUCACCACACUCUAUAUAUAUAUCCCCAACUCUCUAUAUCUGCCUCAAAAGUCUCUCUGUAUAUAUCUCCACACAAUAAACCUUUAUCACCUUACUUUAUUUAUCAAUCACCUCACUUUAUAUAUCAAUCACCACACACUCUCUAUAUAUAUUCCCAUACUUUCGAUAUCUAUCCCCACAGUUUCUAUGUUUAUGACCACAUUAUAAACACCUAUCACCUUACUUUUUUUAUCAACCACCUCACUACAUAUAUCAAUCACCACAUACUCUCUAUAUAUAUCUCCAUUCUCUCUAUAUUUACCCAAAAUUCUCUAUGUAUAUCUCCACACAAUAUACCAUAUCACCUUACUGGAAAUACCAAUAACCUCACUUUGUAAAUCAAUUGCUCAUUUCAUAUGUAUCACCUCACUCAGAAUAUCUAUCAGUUCACUGUUAAUAUUUUCACCUCAAUUUAUACAUUAUGUCUUUCACACCACUGGGUAUAUCUCUCAAAGCCCUAUUUAUUCCAACUUGAAAGUGGAUAUGAGUAUGAUAAUAAUCCAUGUUUCUGUACAGAAAUCUGUUUAUGUUAAUUUAGAUUUUAAACUUAAAAUGACUCAAUGUGACACCUAUCAUUGUUAUUAUUUUUUUUCUUCAGAAAAGUGAAACAAGAUUUUUGAUAGAUAGAAAAUAGGAGAAAAGGAAAAGGUAAUCUUCAUUGAAAUUUAAAGUAUUAUACAUAUGUAUGUUAAGAGUUAAUUAGCAAAGUAUUAUACAUAUGUAUGUAAAGAGUUAAUUAGCAAAGUAUUAUACAUAUGUAUGUAAAGAGUUAAUAAGCACUUAAACAAUCCUGGUUGAAAUGAAAUAAUUUAAAAGAAAUGUUUUUUAAAGUAUAACCGCUCCAACACUGUCAUGCAAUAUUUUAUGUAAAUAUCAUGUCAGGCAUCUUUUCAGUAAAAGCAGCAAAUAUGAUAUACUAACUGGGGGUCAAUGAUUGUAACAUUCAAAAUGAGUAAACCUUAUAAAUAUAUUGUUUCAGUGUUAUUGCACUUGAAGCAUUGUCUACAGUAUACAUCUGCUGGCACACACAUAAUGUAUAUACCACCACCACAUAUUAUGUAUCUACUGCCACACAUAAUAUAAUUAUGGCCACAUAUAAUAUAUCGACCGCCACACAUAAUAAAUCAACACACUGUGUAUAUCUAUCACCAUAUUAUGUUUGUCUAUCACCACACUAUUGUUUAUCACCACAUUAUUGUCUAUCACCACACUAUCUUAUUUGUCUAUCACCACACUAUGUGUUGUUCUAUCACCACACUAUGUUUGUCUAUCACCACACUAUGUUUGUCUAUCACCACACUAUCUUUGUCUAUCACCACACUACGUUUGUCUAUCACCACACUAUGUUUUUCUCUCACCAUUCUAUGUUUGUCUAUCACCACACUUUAUAUUUUAAUCAUCACAGUUGUAAAGCAAAGAAAAGUAAUUACCCAAGAAAAAAAUGAUUUGAACUUUUCAUUUAAAUGAUUGGUCUCACAAAUGAAUUGUAUUUCUAUAAGUUUUACAUUUUGAUACUGUCUUGGGAUUCUGCCAUUGCAAUGAUGAAAACACUCCUAUUUGUCCUUAGAUGGAAAACAAAUGACAACUGUUUGGGACUUUUAAAUUUUGUAUUGUUUUGGAAUAAUUAUUUAUUCAACUGAACCAUAUUGUUAUGUUUUAGGUUAAACAAGAUUUAGUGCCUGCCACACAAUUAAGAAAGAAUGAGAGGCAAGAAUGUCUACAGAACAGAGGAGAUUAUUUGUACUGCACUUCGAUUUGUGUUAUAGUUAUAUUCAAUUAGUAUUAAAGAGUUAUGUACAAUAA
rnacentral:lncRNA from 1 species